CAAUCCUUACAUUCUCCCUCUCUCUCUCUCUAAACGAGUUCUACCCUUUGAUCCUUCCUCUCACUGUCAAACAGGUUUUUCAUCUCCUUGAACUAUAUCUGAUGUGAUAGUUUAGAGGUAGUUUUUUUCCAAAGCAUUUACCUGUAAAAGGAUCUCGUUGACCUUAAACCUCUUUUUACUAUUCUGUUUAAAUUCCUUCUCUGUAUUGUAUUCCCAACACUGUCCUAUAGUUGAGUGCCUAUAUAAUAGCUACUGUUGUGCAAAAGAAAUAUACAAAAGUUUUCAGUGAGCAGCAGAAGAAACAUUAAAAAGUGUAAAAAUGGAUAUCGACGAUGAGUUACUUAGAAUCAUCUGGAAAUCUUUUGAUUAUAUUAUGGAGCCACUGUAUGUAGUUGUUUUGGCUUUUUUGCGGUUCCUUGUCAAAGACAAAGACUCACAGCCACUGUAAGCUGAAUUUGAAUUUAAUCCGGUUGAAAUAUCUUGGUAUUAUAUAGUUUUGGCAAUAGGCAGUGACAUGACUUAAUGUUUGGCUGACAGUGUGAACACAUGUACAAUUUGGAAAUAAAAACUUUUUGUAUAUUUUAAAAAUUUUAGAAACUGGAAUAACGUAUCGAAGUUUAAAAUAUAUCUCAGCUGAUAAUAUUCGUGUGACUCUCCCCAAUAUUGGUUUAACGGCUGAAUUUAGAGUGAAAUUAUUCGCUUGGAAAAAGAAAGAGUUUAAUUUUGACGACGAAACAUUGUCCGCUAAUUCAAAAGAUGUAUCUUGGAUUCAAAAAAGUUCUCCUUCGAACUCGUUUUCAGCUGGUUUAAUGAUUGGAAUGUAGUCGUUGAAAAAUGGUCACAAAAAUUUGAUUUGCGUCGUAAGAACUUACAGAAAUUGCACACUACAGAAUUUCUAAAACAAUGUCCAAAACAUUCAGAAAGCUAAGCUCCAGAUUUGGUUUCAAGUAGACUUUGACCAUUUAUAUCCUGAAAAGGGACUUCACUUCGAAGCAUAAAUCCAGC